rnacentral:rRNA from 1 species
GUUUUUGGUGGUGCNUGGCCGUUGNNNGGUGCGUGGGUUGACCUGUCUAGCGUUGAUUCAGCUAACGAGCGAGAUUAUCGCCNAUUAUUUACUUUGCCGAAGUCCUUCGGUUAAAGUUCUAAUUGGGACUCCCUGCGAUUUUAGCAGGUGGAAGAGGGUAGCAAUAACAGGUCCGUGAUGCCCUUUAGAUGCUCUGGGCUGCACGCGUGCUACAAUGUUAGGAUCAAUAGGACUGCGAGCCUUAGAGGGNAA